rnacentral:rRNA from 1 species
GCCCCUUGAACUCUGGGAUAAGCCUGGAAAACUGGGUCUAAUACCGGAUACGACCAUUGCCCGCAUGGGUUGGUGGUGGAAAGCUUUUGUGGUUUUGGAUGGACUCGCGGCCUAUCAGCUUGUUGGUGAGGUAAUGGCUCACCAAGGCGACGACGGGUAGCCGGCCUGAGAGGGUGACCGGCCACACUGGGACUGAGACACGGCCCAGACUCCUACGGGAGGCAGCAGUGGGGAAUAUUGCACAAUGGGCGAAAGCCUGAUGCAGCGACGCCGCGUGAGGGAUGACGGCCUUCGGGUUGUAAACCUCUUUCAGUAGGGAAGAAGCGAAAGUGACGGUACCUGCAGAAGAAGCGCCGGCUAACUACGUGCCAGCAGCCGCGGUAAUACGUAGGGCGCAAGCGUUAUCCGGAAUUAUUGGGCGUAAAGAGCUCGUAGGCGGUUUGUCGCGUCUGCUGUGAAAGGCCAGGGCUCAACCCUGGUUCUGCAGUGGGUACGGGCAGACUUGAGUGAUGUAGGGGAGACUGGAAUU